UACGUAGGGUCCGAGCGUUGUCCGGAGUUACUGGGCGUAAAGCGCGCGCAGGCGGCUUGGUAAGACUGGCGUGAAAGCCCCCGGCUCAACCGGGGAGGGUCGUUGGUGACUGCCAGGCUUGAAGCCAGCAGGGGCAGGUGGAAUUCCCGGUGUAGUGGUGAAAUGCGUAGAGAUCGGGAGGAACACCCGUGGCGAAGGCGGCCUGCUGGGCUGGGCUUGACGCUGAGGCGCGAAGGCGUGGGGAGCGAACGGG
rnacentral:rRNA from 1 species